GCUCUGUAUCUCUCCAGGUAGCUCAGUUGGUAGAGCAUGAGACUUAAUUUCAGGAUCAUGCGUUCAAGCACCACAUUGGGCA